rnacentral:tRNA from 1 species
GGUGGCUCAGUGAUGGAGUGCUUGUCUCACAAGCAUGAGGCCCUGGGUUCAAUUCCUCAGCACCA